GAUGAACGCUAGCGGCAGGCUUAACACAUGCAAGUCGAGGGGUAAAAGUUGCUUGCAACUUUGAGACCGGCGCACGGGUGCGUAACGCGUAUGCAAUCUACCUUAUACAGAGGGAUAGCCCAGAGAAAUUUGGAUUAAUACCUCAUUGUAUAAUUGAAUGGCAUCAUUUAAUUAUUAAAGUUCCAACGGUAUAAGAUGAGCAUGCGUCCUAUUAGCUAGAUGGUAAGGUAACGGCUUACCAUGGCAACGAUAGGUAGGGGUCCUGAGGGAGAUCCCCCACACUGGUACUGAGACACGGACCAGACUCCUACGGGAGGCAGCAGUGAGGAAUAUUGGACAAUGGGCGCAAGCCUGAUCCAGCCAUGCCGCGUGCAGGAAGAAGCAUCUAUGGUGUGUAAACUGCUUUUGUACGGGAAGAAACACUCCUUCGUGAAGGAGCUUGACGGUACCGUAAGAAUAAGGAUCGGCUAACUCCGUGCCAGCCGCCGCCGUAACAC
rnacentral:rRNA from 1 species